AGAGUUUGAUCAUGGCUCAGGAUGAACGCUAGCGGCAGGCCUAACACAUGCAAGUCGAACGAGAAUCGGAGCUUGCUCCGAGGAUAGUGGCGCACGGGUGAGUAACGCGUGGAUAACCUGCCCUGGUAUCUGGGAUAACAUCUCGAAAGGGGUGCUAAUACCGGAUAAGCCCACGGGAACUUUGGUUCUUGCGGGAAAAGGUGGCCUCUAUUAUAAGCUACUGUAUCAGGAUGGGUCCGCGUACCAUUAGCUAGUUGGUAGUGUAAUGGACUACCAAGGCUACGAUGGUUAGCUGGUCUGAGAGGAUGAUCAGCCACACUGGAACUGAGACACGGUCCAGACUCCUACGGGAGGCAGCAGUGGGGAAUUUUGCGCAAUGGGGGAAACCCUGACGCAGCAACGCCGCGUGAGUGAUGAAGGCCUUCGGGUCGUAAGCGUACUGUCAGAGGGGAAGAAGUGUAUGGGUGCUAAUACCG
rnacentral:rRNA from 1 species